GCAUUGGUAGUUUAUAUUGUCAAAAUAAAACACUGAAAAUGUUUAGAAGGUUUUUAACUAAACCCCAGUGCA
rnacentral:tRNA from 1 species